rnacentral:ncRNA from 1 species
UAAAAAGCAUUGAACAGUUCAGUAGUUGCCGGUCGUUAGCCUUAGCGAGUCUGAGAUGGUGUGAGCAGACCUAAUCCGGUAUCACGAAUAUCGACUGUGAGUUGUAUGGGUGAAAUCAAGUAACCCGUACUGGUUAACACCCACUAACGUGUGGUACAUCUUUCAUGAUGUGCUUAAGGUCAGUAAUGUAAAUUGCUGAUGAAUACCGGUGGUAACCCGCGCUCGCGUCCGGCAG